rnacentral:rRNA from 1 species
UAGGGAAUCUUCGGCAAUGGGGGGAACCCUGACCGAGCAACGCCGCGUGAGUGAAGAAGGUUUUCGGAUCGUAAAGCUCUGUUGUUAAGGAAGAACGAGUGUGAGAAUGGAAAGUUCAUACUGUGACGGUACUUAACCAGAAAGGGACGGCUAACUACGUGCCAGCAGCCGCGGUAAUACGUAGGUCCCGAGCGUUGUCCGGAUUUAUUGGGCGUAAAGCGAGCGCAGGCGGUUAGUUAAGUCUGAAGUUAAAGGCAGUGGCUCAACCAUUGUAGGCUUUGGAAACUGUUUAACUUGAGUGCAGAAGGGGAGAGUGGAAUUCCAUGUGUAGCGGUGAAAUGCGUAGAUAUAUGGAGGAACACCGGUGGCGAAAGCGGCUCUCUGGUCUGUAACUGACGCUGAUGUGCGAAAGCGUGGGGAUCAAACAGG